rnacentral:rRNA from 1 species
CUGAAACCGUGUGCUUACAAGUAGUCAGAGCCCGUUAAUGGGUGAUGGCGUGCCUUUUGUAGAAUGAACCGGCGAGUUACGAUUUGAUGCAAGGUUAAGCAGUAAAUGUGGAGCCGUAGCGAAAGCGAGUCUGAAUAGGGCGUUUAGUAUUUGGUCGUAGACCCGAAACCAGGUGAUCUACCCUUGGUCAGGUUGAAGUUCAGGUAACACUGAAUGGAGGACCGAACCGACUUACGUUGAAAAGUGAGCGGAUGAACUGAGGGUAGCGGAGAAAUUCCAAUCGAACCUGGAGAUAGCUGGUUCUCUCCGAAAUAGCUUUAGGGCUAGCCUCAAGUGAUGAUUAUUGGAGGUAGAGCACUGUUUGGACGAGGGGCCCCUCUCGGGUUACCGAAUUCAGACAAACUCCGAAUGCCAAUUAAUUUAACUUGGGAGUCAGAACAUGGGUGAUAAGGUCCGUGUUCGAAAGGGAAACAGCCCAGACCACCAGCUAAGGUCCCAAAAUAUAUGUUAAGUGGAAAAGGAUGUGGCGUUGCCCAGACAACUAGGAUGUUGGCUUAGAAGCAGCCAUCAUUUAAAGAGUGCGUAAUAGCUCACUAGUCGAGUGACACUGCGCCGAAAAUGUACCGGGGCUAAACAUAUUACCGAAGCUGUGGAUUGUCCUUUGGACAAUGGUAGGAGAGCGUUCUAAGGGCGUU